ACAGUGUGCUUACCAGUGUUGCUGAAAAGGGAUGGACUAAGCAUCAGAGAGAACACAGACCUUAGCUCUGCACCACGGGGAGGACUGGCUAGAGCUAUGGGUCAGUGACGGAACUGAAAAAACCCAGCCGAAGUACAAGUUACACCACAAGGAGACAGAACUGACCUGGCGGAUGGGAGCCUGAUCAGACUGGGCCAGAACACACAGGGGGCACAGGCAGACCAGACCCACAGAAGGGCUUUGUAACAGACUAGUCCCAGGUGGCAUCACUCAUCUCCUGACUUUGACAUGCAAUAGUCUGGG